rnacentral:rRNA from 1 species
GACGAACGCUGGCGGCGUGCCUAAUACAUGCAAGUCGAGCGGAAACUUGAAAGCUUGCUUUCUAAGUUUAGCGGCGGACGGGUGAGUAACACGUGGGCAACCUGCCUAUAAGACUGGGAUAACUUCGGGAAACCGGAGCUAAUACCGGAUAAUAUAAAAGAUCACAUGGUCUUUUAUUGAAAGAUGGCUUCGGCUAUCACUUAUAGAUGGGCCCGCGGCGCAUUAGCUAGUUGGUGAGGGUAAUGGCUCACCAAGGCGACGAUGCGUAGCCGACCUGAGAGGGUGAUCGGCCACACUGGGACUGAGACACGGCCCAGACUCCUACGGGAGGCAGCAGUAGGGAAUCUUCCGCAAUGGACGAAAGUCUGACGGAGCAACGCCGCGUGAGCGAUGAAGGCCUUCGGGUCGUAAAGCUCUGUUGUUAGGGAAGAACAAGUAUCGUUCGAAUAGGGCGGUACCUUGACGGUACCUAACCAGAAAGCCACGGCUAACUACGUG